AAACAAACAAAAAAAUGCUGAAUGCACUUAGAAAAACUAACCUGACCCUCGUCAUUUUUAUCUGCUCUAUCCUGAUAGCUUCAAGGCUAUGUACUGGGGACUCCUUUGUGUACGACCCAAGCAAAACCUUGAGGGAACGGUUCAAGAAGUGGCUUCAAACCCAUAGCAUCUUAUAUGGAGGAAAGGAGGAGUGGAUGCUACGGUUUGGGAUAUACCAGUCUAAUCUCCAGCUGAUAGACUACAUCAACUCCCUCCACUUGCCGUUUAAGUUAACAGACAACAGAUUCGCAGACAUGACCAAUGCUGAGUUUAAGGCUCAUUUUCUCGGUUUGAACACGUCUUCCUUGAUGCUAGACAGAGACCAAAGGCCGGUUUGUGACGCACUAGGCAAUGUGCCAGCCUCUGUGGACUGGAGGAAAGAAGGUGCAGUGACUCCUAUUAGAAACCAAGGAAAAUGCGGUAUGAAAUCUAUAUUCUCUUACACAGUUCAUCCUUAAGAUAAAGACAUGACCAGAGGUCAUUAGUUUAACUGGAAAAGACUCUUGGCCAUUGUGUCAGAGAUCCCCAGUUCGAGUGACUAUUGAAACGAAACUAAUAUUACAUGUUGUGGUUUCGGGUCUGGGGAUUACCGAACCUUUUGGUAUUCAAAUAAAAAAUAAAAAAAAUAAAGAUAAAUACAUGAUUGUGUUGUUUCUUUUAUUCUUGUGCAGGAGGUUGCUGGGCGUUCACUGCAGUGGCAGCUAUUGAAGGCAUCAACAAGAUAAAGACAGGGAACUUAGUAUCUCUCUCAGAACAACAACUCAUAGACUGUGACGUCGGCGCUUUUAACAAAGGAUGUAGCGGUGGAUUAAUGACAACAGCAUAUGAAUAUCUCAUAGCCAAUGGUGGACUAGUCACCGAGGCUGACUAUCCAUACACAGCCAUACAGGGUUCAUGUGACCAAGAGAAGUCCCAAAACAAGGUGGUUACAGUACAAGGAUACACAAAGGUGGAACAGAACGAGGCGAGUUUACAAGCAGCUACUGCUCAACAGCCAGUAUCAGUAGGAAUAGAUGCUGGUGGUUUUAUCUUUCAGCUCUACUCUUCUGGUGUAUUCACAGGCUUCUGUGGAAACCAUCUUAACCAUGGAGUGACUGUUGUUGGAUAUGGAGAAGAAGAUGGUCAAAAGUACUGGAUUGUAAAGAAUUCGUGGGGAACUGGUUGGGGUGAACAGGGGUAUGUAAAGAUGGAACGUGGUUAUAGUGAAGAGACGGGUAAGUGUGGUAUUGCUAUGCUUGCAAGCUAUCCCACGAAGUGAUUCCAAGAAUCUCUAGAAGCUUUAUAGAGCCUUUUCCCCUAUGUAUGACAAUAUGCAAUAGCGCAGAUUAAAAUAAUUUUGACUGUGCGAAUAAAGUACAUAGAGAUACUUGAGAACCAAGGUACUGCUAACAUGAUUCCAAAGAUAAAAAUGAGAUUAUAAUAGAAACAUGUGUUAAGCACAUAAGAUUCACUUGAAAAAUUCAUUGAUACUUUCUCCUACAAGCAUCAUGUUUGAGAAGCUGAUUCUUUUAACAAUAGGUUUGACAUUGAGUCUAGUGAUACAUCAUUUAACACUAACAUUGAAGAUUCACUCUAUACUACUAAAUCAAAACACAUGGAACAGAACGAGGCGAGUUUACAAGCAGCUACUGCUCAACAGCCAGUAUCAGUAGGAAUAGAUGCUGAUGGUUUUAUCUUUCAGCUCUACUCUUCUGGUGUAUUCACAUGCUUCUAUGGAAACCAUCUUAACCAUGGAGUGACUAUUGUUGGAUAUGGAGAAGAAGAUGGUCAAAAGUACUGGAUUGUAAAGAAUUCGUGGGGAACUGGUUGAGGUGAACAAGUGUAUGUAAGGAUGAAACGUGGUUAUAGUGAAGAAACGGGUAAGUGUGGUAUUGAUAUGCUUGCAAGCUAUCCCACAAAGUGAGUCCAAGAAUCUCUAGAAGCUUUAUAUGUAUGACAAUAUGCAAUAGCGCAGAUAAAAAUAAUUAUGACUGUGCGAAUAAAGUACAUAGAGAUACUUGAGAACCAAAGUACUGCUAACAUGAUUCCAAAGAUAAAAAUGAGAUUAUAAUAGAAACAUGUGUUAAGCACAUAAGAUUCACUUGAACAAUUCAUUGAUAUUUUCUCCUACAAGCAUCAUGUUUGAGAAGCUGAUUCUUUUAACAAUAGGUUUGGCAUUGAGUCUAGUGAUACAUCAUUUAACACUAACAUUGAAGAUUCACUCUAUACUACUAAAUCAAAACACAUGGAACAGAACGAGGCGAGUUUACAAGCAGCUACUGCUCAACAGCCAGUAUCAGUAGGAAUAGAUGCUGAUGGUUUUAUCUUUCAGCUCUACUCUUCUGGUGUAUUCACAUGCUUCUGUGGAAACCAUCUUAACCAUGGAGUGACUAUUGUUGGAUAUGGAGAAGAAGAUGGUCAAAAGUACUGGAUUGUAAAGAAUUCGUGGGGAACUGGUUGACGGCAACAAACAGGGUGACAAGGAGAAACUUUCUGCGGUAUGUUUAAUCUUUGUUCAUCUCCCCAUAGCCUAUGUUUCUGGAGGAUGAGGCAAAUUCUUGUUGACAAUUUAUCUUUAAGUUAAAGUAGUUAUGUAUGAACCUUGCUGCAAUUCAUCUUGACAGGUGUACGACAGGCUCACUCACUUAAUCUCAAUGGAGAGUGAGAACUCAAGUCUCGAAAGGCCAGCCAAAUCAAAUGAAUGAGUGUGGGGGCGUAAAUUAUUGGGCUCUUAGAGCAGAGAUUUAUGCUGCUUCUUAUACAACUAGUUCAAAUCGAGCUUCAUCUUAUAAUUUUCUCAGAUUGUUGUUAGGAUGUUUAUGGCUUUGUUGCUUGUGGGUAACUACAGUAGUGGAGAUGCAUUAGAGUUGAUCCAGGGAGCCUCUAUUUAUGUUAACAUCCAAAAUACAUUGUUAUUAUGUUCAAUAAAAUAUUCAAGUUGUUCUUCGUCCAAGUACACCAAUAACGCACUUGUCACAUUCUACAUGCUUGUCUUGUUGAUCUUGAUGAGAUUUGGCCCUUAGAUUCUUUGUUCUUCUAAUUGAAUUUUUGUGUACAAUUACAUACAUUUUAUAAGUAUUUGUAACUAAACUUGCAUAGGUAAAAUCUCUUGUAGCCCGUUACUUAUUUGUGGAGUCAUCAUCACCAUCAUCAUCUUCAUACCUGUGGACAUCCAGCUUCCACGUCCCAUCAUCCAUCUGAACCAUCCCUCUAUUCGCAAGACACCUCCAGACACUCGGCACUAAGUACUUAUCCUUCAGAGCAUCCAACCCCUUAUUAACCAACGAAACAUCCCGACCAAUCUCCAGCCUAAACACCCCGGUCUUGUCCUGCAUCCCCGCUAUCCCGUGCAAAUAUAUCUCCAGGUUAUGGUAGUUCCUCCAGUUCAGAGAACGUUUGAGGUAAGUCGAGUUCAACGUAUUGAUCUGCAGCACCUCGCCUACCUCUGCAUACAUGAAGAGUGGAUAGUUUGGUGCUACAUCCGGGACGUUUACUAUUCUUAGGAUGUUUAGUUGUUUGUGCGAGCUGACUACUUUUUUGAAGUCUUGGUCUCCUAUUCGAGGGCACCCGAAUGCGAAGACUGUGAUGGGGACUUGUUUGCUUUGAAGACCUGUGUGAAUCUUGUUUUGACUGCUGUGGACAAGAUCUGCAGCUGCUAGAGUUGACAUUACUCCGCCCAAGCUGUGGCCUGUGAAAGUGAUGCUUACUUCUUCGUUCUUGUAGACUUCUAGCAGUCUCUUGAGCUCUGCUUGUACCUGAAACCGAAACCAAGACACAGUGCCAUUAGCUAGGGCUGCAGGUUCGAGUUAUUCAGUUAGUUCGGAAUUCGGUUAGAUCGGGUUGCUCAAAAAAUUUGGUUUUGCGGUUAGUUUGGUUAAUUUUCAGUUUAAAUUGAAUAAAAUUCGAAAACAAAUUGGUUAGUUCCGUUAAUUUUUGGUUAUUUCUGUUCGGAUUUUGGUUAGUUCGGUUCGAAAUUUCGGUUAAAAUUGGUAUUAUUUGAAAUUUUUUUAGUUGCCGAAGUGAACCGAACUUGCAAACCGAGCUAACCAAAAAGCAAACUUUUGGGUCGGUCGGUUCGGCAAGUUCGGGUCGGUUUAUACCCGCAGGCCUACCAUUAGUAAUGUAAAUGAUAAAGGGUAAGGUGAGGUAGACCUGUUCACGUGCGCUAGUUGUGUCAUAAGGAGACUUAGCAUCAGAAGCUGUAUAAACAUCAAGCCAGCCACUUCCAAUACGGGGCACGUGUUUGCGGUCUGUCACAGGGAAAACUUUAACACCUGACUCAAGAGGAAAAUCGAAAUCGUUAGCCCAUUCAUACGGCUGAAGAGUUCCUCUCCAAGCUACAACAAUGUCUCUCCUCCCUAGCAUCGCCUUCCCCUCGUCUGUAGCGACCGCAAUGUAACCCAUCCAGUUAGUCUGCACGCGCGAGGCUUUCUUUGACAAAGACUUGACGAUGAAACAAAGUGGCAUCUUUAUAGAAGCUGUUGCAUAGAUGUACUUGGUCACAUUGUACCUGAAGAAUCAACCAUAGUUUGCCUUUACAUCGUCUACACAAAGAUGAAACGUUAUUUGUGGGAAAGUACCUGAUAGGGUUGGCUUUAAGGUAGCCGGUUCGAGCAUGGAUUUGACUCUUGGAGUAAUAACAGUCACCGCAGUAUUCGGACUUACGGUCCCAGUUAAAGGCGUCAUAACCAACCUGAGCCAUCUCGCCAUAGUGAAUGAGGUAGCGACGUAGGUCUGAGUCAAGUGGAUCAAGCAGGCCUUUCCAUUUGUUUUGGCCACUUAGCACUUUCCAUCUCUUUGGUAUGUCUUCCAACAUGUUUUGCCUUAGUAUUUUUCACAAACCUUUCCUUGUUCUAGCUUUUUUUUUUUUUUUGGACAGAUAAGUGUUUGUUAAGUGUAGGCAUGUUACAUUGUUAGGGAUGAGACAGAAGGAAACUUGUUUCAUUAGAACUGUAACAAAAUGCAAAACCUGUGACCAAGAGAGCAGCCACGACACUGAAGCUUAUAUUACCAAGAAACCAAACUCAUUUCCCAAAACAAACAAAAAAAUGCUGAAUGCACUUAGAAAAACUAACCUGACCCUCGUCAUUUUUAUCUGCUCUAUCCUGAUAGCUUCAAGGCUAUGUACUGGGGACUCCUUUGUGUACGACCCAAGCAAAACCUUGAGGGAACGGUUCAAGAAGUGGCUUCAAACCCAUAGCAUCUUAUAUGGAGGAAAGGAGGAGUGGAUGCUACGGUUUGGGAUAUACCAGUCUAAUCUCCAGCUGAUAGACUACAUCAACUCCCUCCACUUGCCGUUUAAGUUAACAGACAACAGAUUCGCAGACAUGACCAAUGCU
rnacentral:lncRNA from 1 species